rnacentral:lncRNA from 1 species
AAAGAAGUAAGUUUGUUCUGACCUAAUGUAAUCCUCAUGAGGUUAUUCUGGCUUCAAGUGAUAAUCUGUUGCAAUUCUAAUGUCUCACGAUCUUUUAAUAGUUUGUUCUAGAUUCUUGUCCAAAUCUAUGCCAAGUUUACUGACACUGUACACUGCCCAAGCCCUUUAAUUUCCAUUUCUAUUCAUUGGCACUGCACAUCAACAUUCCUGGAGAGCCGUUGCUGGUAAUAAAAUGAUUUUUUCCUACAGUAUUUCCAUUCCCUUGGGCCAGGUUGGAAGAUCUGCCUUUUAGAACAUUUAGAGGGUUCUUGCCACAAACUCACUGAUUUGAGUUUCAGAUUUCUCCUACCUGCAUUUUUUUUUUUAACGCUAUGCAGUCUGGUGAUACUCCUCUUAAUAUUUACUUCCUUUCCUUUCCAUUCAGAAUCUUUUUGUUUUGAGAAGCUUGGAAGCUUCUUCAGUAAAGAAUUAUGAAUUAGUUAGGGUUCUUUUGGAUGCCAGUAACAAAAAAUCCAAUCCAAGGGAGUUUAUUGGGAAACAACUGAACAGUCUAGGAACAAUAUGCCUCAGACAUUAUUGGCAAGAGGGAUUCAAACACUUUCUUCCGGACCUAGCUUCUCUUUCCCUGUAUGGAUGCUUGUUACCUUUUAAAAUUUACUCCAUUUGCAGACAUUUGCCAUCCCAUGUAGUCAAGUCUGAGGUAGCUUUGGAAUGUAGAUAUUCUCUAGUCCAGUGGGAAGAGGCCCCUGGCUUCCUGGCAACCUCAGAAAAUAGUUCCUGGUGUCUCUUUGACUCGGCUGAGAUCACAUGCUCAUCCCUGAACUAAUGCCUGAGACCAGGGAAAUUUGAGGUUCUGUUCACUGUGCUUGACUGUCUGCUAUCCCUGAUAUAGGAUCCAAGUCCAAAAGAAUCAGGUGGAAUGUAAAUCAAGACCAAGUUCCCUUGCAAUACUAUCUCUCUAAAUUGAUGUAGUAAACCAGAGAAGCAAUGUAUAAUUGUCAUUGAACAAAAGAUUUAUUUUCCUGAUUAUAAUCUCUCUCAACAGCAUGUAUGCACACAUAUGCAUACACAUGUGAGUGUGCCGGAUACCCAAUAGCUUUUUUUGCUCUUCUGAAUUCCUUGUGUAUCUGUUUAUCCCUUUUGCUGUUAAUUGGACAUUUGCAAACAAAGAAUGUCAUUGUUCUCCACUUUAAAGUGGUAAUUAGCAGUUAAGUAUAAAAACAUGAAUAUAUUUACCUCUGCUCUCUCUCCAAACUGCCCUAAACCUACUGUAAUGUAAUAAAUACACAAGACAAAGAGAGCAGGAGUAGAGACAACUGAAGACUAGAGAUGUAAAUUGUAUUUUGGAAUUUGGAAAUUUUAUAGACAAGCAAAAUGGAGAAAACCAAUGUCUCGUACUCUGUAGUGAGAGAAGACAUUAGGAAAAAAAUUAAUUUGCACUGGAGAACUCCAGAAUCUGGAAAUGAAGAUACCACACACAUCAAAAAGAUUCAGUGUGAAAUGGGGCUGAAAAUGAUAUAGUGUUUGACAGUCUAUGUUUGAAGUCUUAGACUACUCAUGCUUCUUCUCUUGUGCCUGCAUCAGACAGAUAGGAGUUGUAUUCUAUAUAGAGAAAUGGACUCUGACCUUUGGAGUCCCAAGCACAGUGGAUGCUGAGAUGAGGUACUGGAUUGAAAAUAUUAAAAUUAAUUCUUCCUACUGAAUUUUGAGAUUCAGCUUCCUUUCCAACUUAGCCUUAAAAUGCUGGUAGCCAAGCUUGUAAUACCAGAUAGGGGACUAGAUUUACGUAUUCUCUGGGGAAACUUAGCGGUGCAAGAGAAAAGAGUUAUGUAUAUUGGCAUUUGAGAAUCUUUUAAUAAAUCUUAAAAAUCUUGCCCAUGCAUUUAGAACUUAGAAUCAACAUUUUAGAACCUUAGAAUAUGGAUGGUGAGUUAAGGAGCACAGAUAGAUGAGGAACACUGGUAACAUAAAUGGCAAGAUCAAAACAUAGAAAAAGAGAACAGUAACAUAAAGAAAACAGACAGUUCAGAGUACCAAAGACUAAGAGUAAGAUCUCUCAGAACUGGAGGAUAUGGGAUCCAGAUUAAGAGCUGACUAAAUGUCCAGGACAAUUAAUUAUAAUAAUAAUAACAACAAUAAAUAGACUCAUCUCUACAUUGGUACUCACACAGGAUAGUGAAUAGUGCCUGUUCCCAUCAGCCAUGCUGGAAAAUUGUAUGACUUUCAAGAGAUUUGGCAUAAUACAGGAGAUCUUGCCUCAGUAUUCAGUCCCUGACUAAGAAGUACUCAGAUCUUGCAGAAUAAAUCUUAUAAUCAAGAAAGGAUCAAACUGUUUCCAAAUAAUGAAACUACAUUUAAGAACAAAGCUCAAGAAUAUUUAUAAAAAUAUAAAAAUAUCCAGAACUCAAUAAGGUACAAUUCAUGUCCGGCAUCUAAUCAAAAAUUAAACAUCAAACAAAGAAUUAGGAAAAUAUGACCCAUGAUAGCUCAUUGUGGAGAAAAUAAGUCAAUUGAAAUUGACCCAGAAUUGAUGCGGACAUUCAAAUUGGCAGAGAAAAACAUUGAAUCAUUAUAAUUAUAUUCUGCAUGUUCAAAAGUUAAGUAGAGCCCUGGAAAAUUUUAAAAAUUCUAAAUCAAAAUUUUAGAGAUGAAAAGUACAAAGUCUAAGAUAGAAAUGAUACUGUGGAAUACAUAGCAGAGGACAAAAUUAGCCAAACUGAAUAAGUAAUACUAGAAAAUAUACAAAAUGAAAAAUAUAGGAAAAGAUAAUUAAAUGAAAAUAGAAACAGUAAGCUAUGGGACAACUUCAAACAGUCAAUUGGAGCCUCUGAAGCUCUGGAGGGAAGGUGACAGAAAGGAUACAUGAAAAAAUGAUGAGAAGUGUUCUUAAUUUCAUAAAAACAGUAAUCUUGGAUAUCUAAGAAUCUCAAUGAAUUCCAAGCAUAGAAAACACGAAGAAAACUAUAGCAAGACAAAUUUUAACCAAAUUAAUUAAAAACCAGUGAGAAAGGAAAAUUGUUAAAAGCAGACAGGGAAGGAACCCACAUAUAGGAAAUAAAUAAGAAUGAGAAAAGAUUUAUUGUCAAAAAUAAUGCAAUGAUAAGCCAAUGGAGAAAUAUCUUUAAAUUACUGAAUGUAAAAAAAAAAUAAGUAAAUGAAUAAAUUACUGAAAGAAAACAAAACAAAACAACACAAAACUAUUAAUGUAGAAUUUUAUACCCAGUAAAAAUAUCUUUCAACAAAAAGGCAAAAUAAAGUUUUGGCAGAAAUACCCUCACAAAAGAAAAUCCAUCAGACUCAAGGAAAAUGAUUCCAGAUGGAAAUAUGGGUCUACAAAAGGGAGUAAAGAGCAGUAGAAAUUGUAACUAAAUAGGUGAACUCAUAAUAUCUUUUCUUAUUUGAAUAUUUUUAAAAAAUAAUGGACUCUUCGAAAAGUAACAACAAUGUAGUGUGCAUUUUAUAACGUAAAAGUAAAGGUAUAACAAAUAUAGCACAAAGAUCAAGAAGGAAAUAAAAUGUUAUAAUGUAAAGUUGUUAUACUCUACACAAGGGGUAUGAUAUCAUUUGAAGGUGGACUGUGAUAAGUUAGGUAUAUAUUAUAAAACUGGUGUCUACUCAAAUAAUUAAAUGGAAUAUAUAGCUAAUAAGUCAACAAAGGAGAUAAAAUGGUAUAAUAAAUAUUCAGUUAACCCAAAGGAAGUUAAAAAAAGAACAAAGGAACAAAAUAGAAGAAGGAACAAACAGAAAAUGAAUAGAAAGUGAUAGUUUUAAACCUAACUAUAGCACUAAACAUACUAAAUACAAACAGUUUAAUCAUCUAACUUUAAAGGGAAUAUUUUUAAAAUAGGAUUAAAAAAAUCAAGAUCCAACUAUGUGCUGUCUAUAAGAUAUAUUCCUUAAAUAUAAGACACAGGUAGACUGAAAGUAAAAGGAUGGGAGAAGAUAUGUCAUACUAAAACUAAUUUAAAGAAAACUGAAAAGGCUAUAUUAAUAAUCAGAAAAAGUUUAUUUCAGAUAAAAUGAUGUUACAGAUAAAGAAGUUCAUUUCAUAAUUAUUUGAUGAUUUAUUAUGUGUACAUAACCAUGUUAAAUUUUUAUGCACCUCAUAAGAGAGCUUCACAAUAUCUGCAACUAAAUGAAUAGAACUUCAAGUUAAAAUAGUCAAAUAUACAAAUAUAUUUGGAAGUUUCACUACCAUUCUCAACUCUUGUUAAAAUGAGUGGACAAAGUUAAUAAGGAUAUAGGCAAUUUGGUCUGUACUAUCAAUUACCCUAUCUCUAUUUGACACUUAUUAAACACUUUACCCAAGAAUAAUAGAAUUCGCAUUCUUUUCAAGUGUACACAGACGAUUUAUCAACAUCGAUCAUAUUUUGGGUAAUAAAGCAAAUCUUAGUAAGCUUAAAAUGAUUCAGGUUAGUACCUAUUUUCUGAAAAACAAUGUAAUUAAGUUAAAAAUCAGUGAUGGAAUAAUUCUGGAAAAUUGCUAAAUAUUUGUAAACUAAAUAAUGUAAUUCUGUAUAACCAAUUGUUUGAAGAAGAAGUUACAAGAGAAAUUAGAACUUUUUUUUGGACUGAAUAAAAAUAAAAAUACAACAUAUCAAAAUUUGUGGGGUGCACUAAAGCAAUACUGAGAAAAAAUUUAUAGCAUUAAGUACACAUAUUAGAAAACAAGAGAUGUCUCAGUGACACUAACUUCCAUAUUAAGAAAUCUAAAAUGCUGGAAUUCCCAUCAUGGUGCAGUGGAAAGGAAUCCGACUAGGACCAUGAGGUUGCAGGUUUGAUCCCUGGCCUCACUCAGUGGGUUAAGGAUCUGGCAUUUCCGUAAGCUGUGGUGUAGGUCACAGACACAGCUCAGAUCCUGCUUUGCUGUGGCUGUGGUAUAGGCUGGUAGCUAUGAUUCAACCCCUAGCCUGGGAACUUCCACAUGCUGUGGGUGUAGCCCUAAAAAGCAAAACAAAAACAAAAACAAAAAAAACAAAUCUAAAACGCAGGGCAAGUUAAACCAAGUGUAAUUAGAAAACAAAAAAUUUAUAAAAGCCUGAGAAGCAAGCAAUGAAACAGAAACAAAAAAGCAGUAAAGAAAAUCAAUACAUCUAAAGCUGUUUUUUAAGAAUAGCGAUACAUAUGAUAAACCUCUAGCUUGACUGACCAAGAACAAAGGAGAGAAGACAAAUUACCAAUAUGCAAAAUGAAAGUAGUGACAUUAGCACAGAGUCUAUAGGUAUUAAAAUAUAGUAAAAGAAUAUUAUGAACAUCAUUAUACCAGUAAUUUGAUGACUUAGUUGAAAGGAGCAAAUUCCAUGAAAGCCACAAAGUACCAAAACUCACUGAAGAGGAGAUGGAUAAUGUGAAUAGCUUGCUCUUUUGUCCCACUUUAUUUAUCACAAUUUUAUUAAAAAUUUUUGAUCUUCUGGAUAUUAGUAUAUUUUUGCAAACAACUCCCCCAUGUUUUGUCUUACUCUUUUCACACUGUUAGUGUUUCUAGCGAAAAAAACAUCAACUUUAGUGAAGUCAAAUUUCCCAACCUUAUGCUUUAUGCUUUUUUUGUGUAAUGUUUCAGAAAUCUUUCACAACAAGAUAAUGAAGAUAUUUUCCAAUGUUAUUUCAAGAUACUUUAUUAUUUUCACAUUUAUAUUUACAACUAUAUGCAAAUAAUUUGAUGUAUAGUAAUUGAUGGAAGUCUACCUGCCCCUUCCCCCAGUGUACAAUUGUCUUCAUCAACACCAUUUAUUAUUUUCUUUUUCCUCUACACUUGAGACAAUAAAGAAAGAAGAAAGAUAAAGAAA